rnacentral:rRNA from 1 species
CCUACGGGAGGCAGCAGUGGGGAAUAUUGCACAAUGGGGGAAACCCUGAUGCAGCGACGCCGCGUGAGUGAAGAAGUAACUCGGUAUGUAAAGCUCUAUCAGCAGGGAAGAAAAUGACGGUACCUGAGUAAGAAGCCCCGGCUAACUACGUGCCAGCAGCCGCGGUAAUAAGGAGGGGGCAAGCGUUAUCCGGAUUUACUGGGGGUAAAGGGAGCGUAGGCGGGAGGACAAGGCUGGAGUGAAAGGCGGGGGCUCAACCCCUGGAGUGCUGUGGAAACUGUACGGCUGGAGUGCAGGAGAGGUAAGUGGAAUGCGUGGUGUAGCGGUGAAAUGCGUAGAUAUUAGGAAGAACACCGGUGGCGAAGGCAGCUUACUGGACUGUAACUGACGUUGAGGCUCGAAAGCGUGGGGAGCGAACAGGAUUAGAUACCCUAGUAGUC